GGGUGUAUAGCUCAGUGGUAGAGUGUGUGCGUAGCUUGCAUGAGGUCUUGAGUUCAAUCCCCAGUACCUCCA
rnacentral:tRNA from 1 species